AUUGAACGCUGGCGGCAGGCCUAACACAUGCAAGUCGAGCGGAGCGGCGGACGGGUGAGUAAUGCCUAGGAAUCAGCCUGUUCGUGGGGGAUAACGUCCGGAAACGGGCCCUAAUACAGCAUACUUUCAGAUCAGCCUCGGUCUGAUUAGCUAGUUGGUGGGGUAAAGGCUUACCAAGGCGACGAGCCGGAACUAGUCCGAGAGGAUGAUCAGUAACACUGGAAAUGGGACACGGGCCAAACUCCUACGGGAGGCAGCAGGAGGGAAUAUUGGACAAUGGGCGAAAGCCUGAUCCAGCAAUGCCGCGUGUGUGAAGAAGGUCUUCGGAUUGUAAAGCACUGUUGUUUGGGAGGCGUUACCAACAUAAUAAGCACCGGCUAACUUCGUGCCAGCAGCCGCGGUAAUAC
rnacentral:rRNA from 1 species